AUGGCUGACAUCACUGUGGGAUGCAACGGUAAAGGUUAUCCACGGUUCGGUAUGUAUUUUGGUUCUUGAGUCACGGUUCACGGUACGGUUCGGAUGCAGAGGCCAGCUGGAGCCAGGCUGUACGCCGAAACGUAACUGGGAGCUGAUGGAGAGCC